GUAAUUAGCCAUCGGGCCUGUGCUAAGGAGGCAGGUUGAAAGUCAAGAGAAGGCAGUAAGGCCUUGUAGAUUUCCACCGAGGACACCAAAAAUAAUCUGAUGACAGAUGAUGUCAGUGAUCUAUCAGUGAAUCUCUUCUAUUAUCGGCAGCAUCCAACAACCAGAGGGUUCCAAAAACAGGCGAAGACCGUUGUCACACCUUCACGUGUAAAGGCUGCAGAGCCGCAUCUGCUGCACAGACCGAAAUAUUUUAAGGGAAGAUGAGAAAGAACCAGAAUUUAGGAAAGCUGAGACGUGCGCAGCCUGUUUCACUUCAUUUGGCUCCUAAUGAAGUAAACGGUGGUUUUCCUGGUGACGGCAAUGGAAACUGAACGGGCUGCUCAAAGGUCUGCUCCUCCGGCGUAACUGAUUUUAACCAGGCUGGUAUUCAACAAAAGAAGAUGGUUACAAGGAAACGGGAAUUGGCUAAAAACAAAAAACACCAAAAGACAGUGAAAGAAAAAAAAAAAAAGAGCAAAAAGACGACUGUCUAUUAUAGAACAAAAAGAAGACCUCUGGAAAAGGAAAAUGACUGCAGAGCCAUGGACUAAUUUGGAGUGCCGUUAUUUGUUCUUUGGAUGCAGUGGAAGUCCUUCAUUAAGGACCCACGUAAUUCAACUCCACCAGCAGGAGAGAACCAAAGCAAGAGAGCACUGCAUGAGAAACAAGGCAGGGGGAUCAAAAUAAAGAAAAAAGAGGCAAAGUCUGAGCAGGAGAUACUAAACAAUGUUAUACUAGUCAAUUUUAAGCCAGAGAAACUGGUAUUAUGCACCUUUCAAAAGUGAAGGGACCUCUCCCUUCCACCCAGCUGAGAAGUAGCAAGUAUAAAGACAUAAAGCAAACAAGUUACUUCAUUGGCAGCAAGAAAAGGGAUAAAAGCUGAGCUCAACUAUCCUUUCUUUCAGUGAGAAACAAUAGUGAUCCUUUCCGCUUGUUCAGUAAUUCCCAGUUACAGGAUUUACAACUAUCUUUGGGAUUGAAAGUCCCAGUGAAAUUCUAAAGUAGCUCCUCCUCAAGUUAUUAAGGGAGGACAGACACAAAGUCUGGUCACGUUAACCUUAAUUCUGUAGGAAAUAUAUUAUAAACCAGGGUGGAAGUAAGGCUUAGAAAAAAGAAGCACACAGGGAUACCAAAAGAAAGCAUCCAGCUUGGAGUCUUCUGGGCACGCAUGCCUUGGGUACGCAAGCUCCAACACUUACGGAAAGAAUAGAAGGACCAGAGUUGUCGAGAUUAUCUAUGAACUUGGUGUAAAGGAAUUAGAUACAAACAUGAUAAAGCAGCAUAACUUCUAUGUUUUUUUUCAGUCCUAGACUUCUUGAAACUACCAAGAAGGUUGCUGGGAAUGGUUCCUUGUGAGGAAGAUACUUAGACCAGUUUACUAAUUUCUUCUCUCAUUGACACAGAAUGAGGACGUUUUCCUGCUCUUUCCUUCACCUUCUCCCUCUCAUCUCCCCUCUUUGCCAACCUUCUUUGCCUUUCCUUCUUCUUUAUUAUUGAUUCAGGUCGAAUGUGAAUGGCAGUCAUUUAUAUGUGAUAACACAUAUAACAUCUCUCAAGAUAAUUCUGUACACAUUUUUUAAUUGUUUUAAUUUAGUUCAGCUAACUCCCCCUAUGCUUUUUACGCUCUAAAAUUGAUUAGAGAUUUCACUGGAGAAUACAGAAUGGCAUUCUGAAAGUACCUUAAAAAUGAGGAAAAGUAUUCUAGGCUUAUUUUACAAGCUUACAUAGCAUUUAAAUGCACAUUUGAUAUUGUCUUUGUUCACAGAGAAUAUUUCACAUUGCUGAGGUUUAUAACUUUCCUUCAUAGGAAGAUGUUUGAUUAGUCAAUAAAAUUUUAGAAAAGCUUGAAUUUCUAUAAGAUAUAAAAGCCAUUAAAAUCCUCCUCUUAUAUUGCUGCAGGUGAAUUUGUUCUUGCAUGCAAGGCAUCCUAAAUCUGCUUAAGUAGACUCUUUUGGGGUACUUAUACAGUAUGUGUAUUUGUUGCCCUUGAGAAAAACAGGAGGAUAUGGUAAACCAUUGGACGCGUGUACAGUUCAACUUUAGCCAAGGAUCAGUCAACCUAUAAUUACUCUUCGUAUUUUAAAAUACAGUUGUGUCUAUUAAAAUAAAUGCAGACACUGACCUUAAUUAUGAUUUUGUACGGCUUUAUUUAACCUGUAUUUUGAGUAGUUUAAUUAGUACAACGAUUUUCUCUUCUUUCUUUAUACCCAUUAGCUAUAAUGUUUUAUAAAUAGCCCUAAACAAAUGUACAGCUUAGCCCUACCUGCAUGGAGACAUUGCAGAAUUCCUUGCUAAGAUGCACAUUUUGGUUUAGCACCUGCUUAAGCAUAAGCCUGAUUUAAGCAGGUUUUGUCAGGCUUUGUCUCUUCACUGAAACUGAGAUUAAUUAACAUGCAUGUUUAAUUGUUUUGCUUAGUUCUCCCACAGAACAUGUGGUAAGUACUCACAGUGGUUCAGCCUACAGUUCACGGACACGGAGCCAGGAACGGGACGUAGGGAAGACACCUGUGCGUUCAUUCAUCUGAAGGGGCCUUGGGGGUAACCAAGCCCAUUGUCAUGGAUGGCCAGACCUCCACUAGAAAUUUCUGAGGUUUCCAGGUGAAACCCUGAAAAGCUGAAAGAGCUGGAAACCACCGAGCUAUUUCACAUGUAAUCACAUUGUUAUCAGAUUACAUUAUGCUCCGCACCACUCCCAGGUUGGAAAAAAUAGGGGUUAGGGAGCCAGGAACUAGGUUAUCACAUGGAAUGUGUCAAAUAAGUGUCACUGAUUGGUAACCUGCUAGAAAAUUAAGCCAUAAAACUGCAAUGAGCAUUGAGGCUUUUACACUGCUAUCUUACGUAGCUUUCAAAAUAUACUUGAAAAAGCUAUAACCUAUUAUUCUGUCAAGCAACUUGCACAAGAGAAGAGUUUUUACCAUUCCAACAGCAUACCAGGUAGUAUCCAUCUUAAGGAAAUUUGUAAACUGUCAAGAUUUUUAUAAAAUAAUCUAU